rnacentral:lncRNA from 1 species
UCUGCCUCCCUUCCAAGUACUGGGAUUAAAGGCAUGCACCUCCACUGCCCAGCGGGGAUUGGUUUUAAACAGAACAUUCUUGUCACAUAAACACAAAGUUUUAAAGCUUUCUGGUCAAUUCCAUUUGGAUCCCAAUACCCUUGUUUCCUGAUGAACAGAGAUGAAUUAGAGAGGUACAAAUUUUAUGUGUUCUUUCAGGCAUUCAAAGAGAGCACAGGUGUUAAGGUUUCUUUGAUCUGUAACAUCACCCUUAAGAUGUAAGUCUUCGAUUGUCAUUCUAACCAUUUAUAUUCUAAAUAUUGGAGAGUAUUAAAAUAAGCCCUUGAACAAUUUUUAAAACUGUUUCUAAAAAAAUGAAAGGCCUCUUGCAUUAUUUUUUUUAUUAACGCUAGUAGUACAUACUAGUAAAGGGAGAUGAUGAAAAAGCUUAUUCAAUUGUUUAAAGCCCUAGUUAGAACUAUCUCCCCUUUUGGAAAAUUGAAAAAAAAAAUCCCAACUGAUGGGCGACAAUUGGGAUGUCUUUUUUUUUUUUUUUUUUAAGAGUAGGCAACACUAAUUGGUGGAAGUACAUGCAGGCUUUUAAUCCCAGCAUUUGGAAGGCAGAGACAGGUGGGUCUGUGAGUUAGAGGCCAGCUUGCAACCUGGUCUACAAAGGCUCAAGACAGCCACAGCUACACAUAGAAACCCUGUCUCAAGACCUCCCCUCUGCCAAAAAGAAUGUGUGGGUGUGAUGCCUUCAGGUGCAUCUGUGUACCCUGUGUGUACGGUGUCCAUGGAGACCAGAAGAGAGUAUCAGAUCUCUUGGGACUGGAGUCAGACAUGGCUGUGAGCUGCCAAGUGGGUGCUAGGCAUCUAAAUUCCUGUCCUCUGAAGAGCAGCCAGCAGUCUGUGCUCUUAAGGCUGAGCCUGGUCCAUAAAAUGUUAGUCUAGUGGCCAUUAUCUCUCAAGGGCACCUUACAUGGUUCCUGCAUGAUGAGCUGUCCCAAGCUGUGGCUUUCAUCAGCUCAGCUCUCCUCUUGGCUUAUCCAUUUAACUUGCUGUUCUGCAAUCCAAGCUGGCUACACGUUUAUGACAGUGACUUAUUUUUGUGUUCUCAGCUCCCCAAACUUAAAAAGCUUUUACUGGUUUAGUGUUUGGGUUGCUGGCUGCUGGAGAGGAUUUUCAGUUUUCUAUGAAAGAAGCUUAGCUUUUGUAGUUUAAGAUUAGAUUUUCCAACACAUUCCACUUGUUUUCUAUCUCUUGCUUGGGUUAAACUGGACUCACUUGAGUUUGCCUCUGUUUAAAUACAAGCUGUAAUUCAUCUGGAGCCAUUAAAUUCACUUUACUAUUAACUCAUAUAACACACAUGGCUAUGAGGGGGGAAAAAAAACCCAACCAAAUAUAUCAAGAUUAAGCCAGUUAAGUGCACUUUGUAUUCUAGUGAGGGAUUAAGGCUAGAGCUAAGUUGGAAGAAAUGCAGGCAUUAUACUGUUCCAUUGAGAGAAGAGCAGCGUGUUGAGAAAGCAAAGCUUUGGCUAGGGAUGCUGCUGUUCAGUGGGAAAGCGUUUGCCUAGGAAGGUUUGGGUUCAGUCCAUGUGUCCUCCAAACAGAGAAGUUGGUAAUUAUGUUCAUAUAUAGUAUACAAGCACCAUUUAUAGUUGUGACUUUGAGAAUUUGAACCUGGUUUGUUUAUAGGAAUGUAUAAAGAAACUGGAGUUUUGGGUUAUGUUUUUAUAUUUGUAAAGCAAAAGUUUGAUCAAAAUGAUCAUUGUUCUUUUUAAAAGUUUUAUUUCACUGUUAUUUCAAUAAAAAUAUUUAAAAC